AUACGUAGGUGACAAGCGUUAUCCGGAUUUACUGGGCGUAAAGGGCGUGUAGGCGGUCUUGCAAGUCAGAAGUGAAAUUCCUGAGCUCAACUCGGGCGCUGCUUCUGAAACUGCAGGACUUGAGUGCUGGAGGGGAUAGCGGAAUUCCUAGUGGAGCGGUAAAAUGCGCAGAUAUUAGGAAGAACACCGGUGGCGAAGGCGGCUAACUGGACAGUAACUGACGCUGAGGCGCGAAAGCGUGGGGAGCAAACAGGAUUAGAUCCCCUGGUAGUCCACGCCGUAAACGAUGAAUACUAGGUGUAGGGGGUAUCGACUCCCUCUGUGCCGCAGUUAACACAAUAAGUAUUCCGCCUGGGGAGUACGGCCGCAAGGUUGAAACUCAAAUGAAUUGGCGGGG
rnacentral:rRNA from 1 species